rnacentral:rRNA from 1 species
GUGGGGAAUCUUCCGCAAUGGACGAAAGUCUGACGGAGCGACGCCGCGUGAGUGAAGAAGGCCUUCGGGUCGUAAAGCUCUGUCAUCAGGGACGAACGGCCGGUGGAGUGGAAAGCCACCGGAUUGACGAUACCUGAGAAGGAAGCCACGGCUAACUACGUGCCAGCAGCCGCGGUAAUACGUAGGUGGCAAGCGUUGUCCGGAAUUAUUGGGCGUAAAGCGCGCGCAGGUGGGAUCUUAAGUCCAUUUUGAAAGUUCGGAGCUCAACUCCGUGAUGGGAUGGAAACUGGGAUUCUUGAGUACCGGAGAGGAAAGCGGAAUUCCCCGUGUAGCGGUGAAAUGCGUAGAUAUGGGGAGGAACACCAGUGGCGAAGGCGGCUUUCUGGACGGUGUCUGACACUGAGGCGCGAAAGCUAGGGGAGCGAACGGGAUUAGAAACCCCAGUAGUCC